rnacentral:snRNA from 1 species
ACCCCUGUUUUUGGUCCCAAGGCUCGCUU